AUGAAACCCUGUCUCUAUGGGGGGAAAAAAAAAGCACAGAAAAAUUAGCUGGGCGUGGUGUGGCAGGUGCCUGUAGUCUCAGCUACUCAGGAGGCUGAGGCAGGAGAAUCACUUGAACCUGGGAGACAGAGGUUGCAGUGAGCCGAGAUUGCAUCACUGCACUCCAGCCUGGGUGACUGAGCGAGACUCCAUCUCAAGAAAAUAAAAAACAAACAAAACAAACAAACAACAACAACAAUGAAAAACAAAAGGAGGCAGCCAACAGACAGGGACUUGGCAGGAGUGGAGCUGGGAGAAUAAAUUCCCAGCCUCUUUCUCUUCCCUCCCUGGAUCUCCUUCUGCUGGCUUUUAUUGGUCAGACCUGUCAGGAAGCGGAAGGACAGCAGAGCUUGUUGAUGGAGAGCAUCCAGUCAGCCUCCUGGUGAACACUGGCAGGGCUGAAACUGGAAGACAUCCAAGGCAGACGACGAUCACUGCUACAUUAAGGAGCCUGUGGUGGUUAUUGGGAGCAUGAUUAAACAGUGGAUAACUUGAUGGACCUGAAGUCAUGAAGAAGUCUGGGCCAGGAAAUCGGCAAUACACAGAAGAAAAUUCAGAUGAAUUAUCUGGUGAACAACAAAGAAAAUGCCACAAAUCUGACAGUAUUUCCCUUUCCUUUGAGGAAAGCCUGCCUCUGUGUGUAAUAAGGGAGAUGUGUCCUGAAAGAAGCAGUAGCAACGAAUCUGUGAGAAAUGUGUAUCCACCGAGGAGUUUUCCUUUUCACCUUCCCCAAGACCUGGAGUUUUCCUCCCACCUCUACUCCAGAAGUGAGUCCUUCAGGGCUGAUUCCACCUUCAAAUGAGACUGCAACUGAACAUACAGAAGCACAGCAAGAAACUUCACAGUAUUUUUUGCUCUGUUCAAAAGUGAUUUUGACUGACAUUAUUUUUAACUUAAAGUAACUGCUAUUACUGUGUAACUGUUACUUUUAUUUACUUAUACCUUUGUUAAAAUGGAAGCUUAAUGGCAUUAUAAUUCCAGGCUAGUACUUUAUAAAGAAAGAUGAUUUAAGUAUGAAUCUUAUGAGUAAAUUAUUUCCAUUUUAUUUUAUUCUAGAUAGUAUAACUAUUUUAAUUUGAUUAAUCCACCAUUAUAUAAACAACCAUGGGAGUUUUAUAUAUGUAAUCUUGCAGGUGGGGAAGCUUUGAAUUCUAAAGGCUGUGUCUUUAUGACAAAAACUGUAUUUACUGUGGUUGUAGAAAAAUGUGAAAGUUACCUUAUGCUGAAUUAAAUAAAUUUUAGUUGAUUUAAAGACUUGUUUGGCA
rnacentral:lncRNA from 13 species